CUUGUACUCCCUCCAUCCAAAAAUACUUGUCAUUGAAAUUGAUGUAUCUAGAUGUAUUUUAGUUCUAGACACAUCCAUUUUGAUGACAAGUAAUUCCGGACGGAGGGAGUACUUG
rnacentral:pre_miRNA from 1 species